UGCUGUGGCCAUAAACUCUCAAACUUAGCCUCUCAAAUCUCAUAAGACUACUCUCUAUCAAGAUUGAUAGAUUUUAUCUAGAUGCAUACCCUACUCCUACAGUGGACCAACUAUCGCCAACAUCCACUACAAGGUCUCAUUGAUAUCAUGUUUAUGUAUCAGUCAAACUCUAGCAGUCUCACUACGAGCAAUCAUACCAUCGCAGGUCAAAGGACCAUUCACACAACUACAGCAUUAAGAUAAUCACCGAUGAUUGAUUAGAAAUCCAAAUGAUCUCUUAUAAGAUCA
rnacentral:lncRNA from 1 species